GGAGAGCUGGCUGAGUGGUUGAAAGCGCUUCCCUGCUAAGGAAGUAUACGGGGUUAACCUGUAUCGAGGGUUCGAAUCCCUCGCUCUCCGCCA
rnacentral:tRNA from 2 species